rnacentral:rRNA from 1 species
UACAGAGGUCCCAAGCGUUGUUCGGAUUCACUGGGCGUAAAGGGUGCGCAGGUGGGUUUGCAAGUUUGAUGUGAAAGCCCCGGGCUUAACCCGGGAAUGGCAUUGAAUACUGCAGAUCUGGAGGAUUGGAGGGGGACUGGAAUUCUUGGUGUAGCAGUGAAAUGCGUAGAUAUCAAGAGGAACACCAGUGGCGAAGGCGAGUCCCUGGACAAUACCUGACACUGAGGCACGAAAGCUAGGGGAGCAAACAGG